rnacentral:rRNA from 1 species
ACUCCUGCGGGAGGCAGCAGUAGGGAAUCUUCCACAAUGGGUGCAAACCUGAUGGAGCAAUGCCGCGUGAGUGAAGAAGGUCUUCGGAUCGUAAAGCUCUGUUGUUAGAGAAGAACACGUGCUAGGUAACUACUAGCGCCUUGACGGUAUCUAACCAGAAAGUCACGGCUAACUACGUGCCAGCAGCCGCGGUAAUACGUAGGUGACAAGCGUUGUCCGGAUUUAUUGGGCGUAAAGGGAGCGCAGGCGGUCUGUUUAGUCUAAUGUGAAAGCCCACGGCUUAACCGUGGAACGGGAUUGGAAACUGACAGACUUGAAUGUAGAAGAGGAAAAUGGAAUUCCAAGUGUAGCGGUGGAAUGCGUAGAUAUUUGGAGGAACACCAGUGGCGAAGGCGAUUUUCUGGUCUAACAUUGACGCUGAGGCUCGAAAGCGUGGGGAGCGAACAGGAUUAGAUACCCGAGUAGUCCCAUG